AUUAAAGAUUUUGGCGGUAUUUUAGUCCAUUCAGAGGAACCUGUCCUGUAAUUGAUAAUCCACGAUUUAAUUUACUUGUUUUUUUAGUUUGUAUAUCGUCGUGGGUUGAAUAUUUUAUAAGAAUUAUAAUGUUCAAUAAAUAUAAAUUUAUUUUAUGUCAGAUCAAGGUGCAGCUUAUGAAUAAGAAGAGAUGGGUUACAAUAAAAUUAUUUUUGGUUUAUUAGCUUUAAUGUUUUUAGUAAAUUGGAUUUGAAUGUAAUAUUUUUUAAUUUAUAGAUGUGAUUUUGGCUCUAAAAUAUGCACAUAUUGCCCGUCGCUCUCGUUUAAUAUGAGAUAAGUCGUAACAAAGUAGAUGUACUGGAAAGUGUAUCUAGAAAGAU
rnacentral:rRNA from 1 species